rnacentral:rRNA from 1 species
CCUACGGGGGGCAGCAGUCGAGAAUCAUUCACAAUGGGGGAAACCCUGAUGGUGCGACGCCGCGUGGGGGAAUGAAGGUCUUCGGAUUGUAAACCCCUGUCAUGUGGGAGCAAAUUAAAAAGAUAGUACCACAAGAGGAAGAGACGGCUAACUCUGUGCCAGCAGCCGCGGUAAUACAGAGGUCUCAAGCGUUGUUCGGAAUCACUGAGCGUAAAGCGUGCGUAGGCUGUUUCGUAAGUCGUGUGUGAAAGGCGCGGGCUCAACCCGCGGACGGCACAUGAUACUGCGAGACUAGAGUGAUGGAGAGGGAACCGGAAUUCUCGGUGUAGCAGUGAAAUGCGUAGAUAUCGAGAGGAACACUCGUGGCGAAGGCGGGUUCCUGGACAUUAACUGACGCUGAGGCACGAAGGCCAGGGGAGCGAAAGGGAUUAGAUACCCUUGUAGUC